GAAUGGAAAUACCCAUGGAGGCCAAAUCAAACACAAACAAAAGGGAAAACAAACAAAAUGGAAAUGCCCGUGGUGACGAAAGAAACCCUUAGCAGAAUUGAAAUGCAUUUGGGUGGGUUCUCGUGCCGGAGCCAUUAGCUGGAAGGCCGCCGGCAACAAAGAAUAUCGCCCAUAAAAGACUAGCCGUUGAGAGAAUGAUAACGGCAAAGAAAAUUCAAAUGGGAGCGUGAAAAAGCAAUUGAAUUUCAAUAUAAAUAUAAGCAAUUCAGUUUCAUUUCGUUACGGACAUUCUUUCUUUCUCUGAUUGCCCCUUUCUCUCGAUGUUCUGUUUUGUGAUUGUCCCUUUCUGUCAAUGUUCUGUUCUUUCUCUCUGUUUUCUUCAAAAAAAAUUAAGUGUUUGCUUUGUUUUCAUUUUUCAUUUUUCUGGUAUUCAGCGUGCACGCUGGUCUGUCUGUCUUUUUUUUGGUAUUGCAUUUUUCUGGCAGAGCAGGGGAAAGGCAGAGCAGAGGAAGAGGCAGAGCAACCGAGGGGAAAUUCUUCUUCCAGGCAUGAGAUGCAGAACGCAGAAAGUGUUCAUAUAACUGCUGCAGAGAGGAAGAAAUGGGAAGUUCCUUAUGACCUGCUUUGCCUUAUGACCUGCUUUGUUUAUAGCAAGUAGCUGCUCUAGAAGGAAACCAUAUUUUCAAAACAGCUAACCCAAUGUUUGAAUUCUCUGGCAAUGAAUUGAUCUUCUCCUACACAGCGAACCCAUUUGGAUUUGCUAUCAAGCGCAGAUUCCAUGGAGAGGUUAUGUUCAACUCUUCAUAUGGUAGCUUGGUUUUCAGUAUCCGGUGAGCAGAUACAAAAUCGUUGAGGACUUGGAUGUGCUAUCUGUACCAUGACUGUAAUCCUGUGGUUGUGCAUGGAGAUGUGCACCAAUGUACUAAUGGACAGCCACAUGGAAGCUCCGAUGUCUGAUUUUGCUUAGCCAGACUCAUGCAUAGGGAAGCCACCAUGUGCUGUAGCGCGUACAUUGCACCAGCCACAUGGAAGCUCGGAUGUCUGAUUUUGCUUAGCCAGACUCAUGCAGAGGGAAGCCGCCAUGUGCUCUAGCGCGUACAUCGCAUCAGGUUCACAUAGACAUAUGCUCAUAUCCCUAAAUACUCCAAGAUACAAAUAUUUGAAAAGAUUUUGAUGCUAACUCUAAAAGUUCAUUUUUUCCUUUCAAAACCUAUUUUUAACCUGGGGGCAAAAAAUAGGGCGACAGACAUGUUGGAGCCAAAAAACUACAGUAUGAUAAGAAUUAGUUGUUUUUCAUCAUGGUGUAUUCAAAACAGCAAGAGAUGGAAUUAGGUUUGCACUAUUUCUUUAGUUAUGUUUUGGUCAAGCGUUUUGACUUGAUAGCAUUGUAAAAUGUACAAAUAUAAUGUUUAAUAAAAAAAUUAUUGGAUUGCACUCAA